AUUAUACUCCCUCCGUCCGGAAAUACUUGUCUCAGAAAUGGAUGUAUCUAGAUGUAUUUUAGUUAUAGAUACAUUCAUUUUUAUCCAUUUCUCUGACAAGUAUUUUCGGACGGAGGGAGUACUAC
rnacentral:pre_miRNA from 1 species